AUUGAACGCUGGCGGCAUGCUUUACACAUGCAAGUCGAACGGUAACAGGCCGCAAGGUGCUGACGAGUGGCGAACGGGUGAGUAAUGCAUCGGAACGUGCCCAGUCGUGGGGGAUAACGCAGCGAAAGCUGUGCUAAUACCGCAUACGAUCUAUGGAUGAAAGCGGGGGACCGUAAGGCCUCGCGCGAUUGGAGCGGCCGAUGUCAGAUUAGGUAGUUGGUGGGGUAAAGGCUCACCAAGCCAACGAUCUGUAGCUGGUCUGAGAGGACGACCAGCCACACUGGGACUGAGACACGGCCCAGACUCCUACGGGAGGCAGCAGUGGGGAAUUUUGGACAAUGGGCGCAAGCCUGAUCCAGCAAUGCCGCGUGCAGGAAGAAGGCCUUCGGGUUGUAAACUGCUUUUGUACGGAACGAAAAGGUCUGGGUUAAUACCCUGGGCUGAUAACGGUACCGUAAGAAUAAGCACCGGCUAACUACGUGCCAGCAGCCGCCGUAAGAC
rnacentral:rRNA from 1 species